rnacentral:rRNA from 1 species
GGGUUGUGAGGUUAAGCGACUAAGCGUACACGGUGGAUGCCCUGGCAGUCAGAGGCGAUGAAGGACGUGCUAAUCUGCGAAAAGCGUCGGUAAGGUGAUAUGAACCGUUAUAGCCGGCGAUGUCCGAAUGGGGAAACCCAGUGCAAUUCGUUGCACUAUCGUUAACUGAAUACAUAGGUUAACGAGGCGAACCGGGGGAACUGAAACAUCUAAGUACCCCGAGGAAAAGAAAUCAACCGAGAUUCCCCCAGUAGCGGCGAGCGAACGGGGAGCAGCCCAGAGUCUGAAUCAGCUUGUGUGUUAGUGGAACGGUCUGGAAAGUCCGACGGUACAGGGUGAUAGUCCCGUACACCAAAAUGCACAGGCUGUGAACUCGAAGAGUAGGGCGGGACACGUGGUAUCCUGUCUGAAUAUGGGGGGACCAUCCUCCAAGGCUAAAUACUCCUGACUGACCGAUAGUGAACCAGUACCGUGAGGGAAAGGCGAAAAGAACCCCGGCGAGGGGAGUGAAAAAGAACCUGAAACCGUGUACGUACAAGCAGUGGGAGCACCUUCGGGUGUGACUGCGUACCUUUUGUAUAAUGGGUCAGCGACUUAUAUUCUGUAGCAAGGUUAACCGUAUAGGGGAGCCGCAGGGAAACCGAGUCUUAACUGGGCGUUAAGUUGCAGGGUAUAGACCCGAAACCCGGUGAUCUAGCCAUGGGCAGGUUGAAGGUUGGGUAACACUAACUGGAGGACCGAACCGACUAAUGUUGAAAAAUUAGCGGAUGACUUGUGGCUGGGGGUGAAAGGCCAAUCAAACCGGGAGAUAGCUGGUUCUCCCCGAAAGCUAUUUAGGUAGCGCCUCGUGAACUCAUCUUCGGGGGUAGAGCACUGUUUCGGCUAGGGGGUCAUCCCGACUUACCAACCCGAUGCAAACUACGAAUACCGAAGAAUGUUAUCACGGGAGACACACGGCGGGUGCUAACGUCCGUCGUGAAGAGGGAAACAACCCAGACCGCCAGCUAAGGUCCCAAAGUCAUGGUUAAGUGGGAAACGAUGUGGGAAGGCACAGACAGCCAGGAUGUUGGCUUAGAAGCAGCCAUCAUUUAAAGAAAGCGUAAUAGCUCACUGGUCGAGUCGGCCUGCGCGGAAGAUGUAACGGGGCUAAACCAUGCACCGAAGCUGCGGCAGCGACACUAUGUGUUGUUGGGUAGGGGAGCGUUCUGUAAGCCUGCGAAGGUGACCUGUGAGGGUUGCUGGAGGUAUCAGAAGUGCGAAUGCUGACAUAAGUAACGAUAAAGCGGGUGAAAAGCCCGCUCGCCGGAAGACCAAGGGUUCCUGUCCAACGUUAAUCGGGGCAGGGUGAGUCGACCCCUAAGGCGAGGCCGAAAGGCGUAGUCGAUGGGAAACAGGUUAAUAUUCCUGUACUUGGUGUUACUGCGAAGGGGGGACGGAGAAGGCUAUGUUAGCCGGGCGACGGUUGUCCCGGUUUAAGCAUGUAGGCUGGUUGUCCAGGCAAAUCCGGAUAAUCAAGGCUGAGGUGUGAUGACGAGGUACUACGGUGCUGAAGUAACAAAUGCCCUGCUUCCAGGAAAAGCCUCUAAGCAUCAGGUAACAUCAAAUCGUACCCCAAACCGACACAGGUGGUCAGGUAGAGAAUACCAAGGCGCUUGAGAGAACUCGGGUGAAGGAACUAGGCAAAAUGGUGCCGUAACUUCGGGAGAAGGCACGCUGGUGUGUAGGUGAAGUCCCUGCGGAUGGAGCUGAGACCAGUCGAAGAUACCAGCUGGCUGCAACUGUUUAUUAAAAACACAGCACUGUGCAAACACGAAAGUGGACGUAUACGGUGUGACGCCUGCCCGGUGCCGGAAGGUUAAUUGAUGGGGUUAUCCGUAAGGAGAAGCUCUUGAUCGAAGCCCCGGUAAACGGCGGCCGUAACUAUAACGGUCCUAAGGUAGCGAAAUUCCUUGUCGGGUAAGUUCCGACCUGCACGAAUGGCGUAAUGAUGGCCAGGCUGUCUCCACCCGAGACUCAGUGAAAUUGAACUCGCUGUGAAGAUGCAGUGUACCCGCGGCAAGACGGAAAGACCCCGUGAACCUUUACUAUAGCUUGACACUGAACAUUGAGCCUUGAUGUGUAGGAUAGGUGGGAGGCUUUGAAGCGUGGACGCCAGUCUGCGUGGAGCCAACCUUGAAAUACCACCCUUUAAUGUUUGAUGUUCUAACGUUGGCCCCUGACCGGGGUUGCGGACAGUGUCUGGUGGGUAGUUUGACUGGGGCGGUCUCCUCCCAAAGCGUAACGGAGGAGCACGAAGGUUAGCUAAUCCUGGUCGGACAUCAGGAGGUUAGUGCAAUGGCAUAAGCUAGCUUGACUGCGAGCGUGACGGCGCGAGCAGGUGCGAAAGCAGGUCAUAGUGAUCCGGUGGUUCUGAAUGGAAGGGCCAUCGCUCAACGGAUAAAAGGUACUCCGGGGAUAACAGGCUGAUACCGCCCAAGAGUUCAUAUCGACGGCGGUGUUUGGCACCUCGAUGUCGGCUCAUCACAUCCUGGGGCUGAAGUAGGUCCCAAGGGUAUGGCUGUUCGCCAUUUAAAGUGGUACGCGAGCUGGGUUUAGAACGUCGUGAGACAGUUCGGUCCCUAUCUGCCGUGGGCGCUGGAGAAUUGAGGGGGGCUGCUCCUAGUACGAGAGGACCGGAGUGGACGCAUCACUGGUGUUCGGGUUGUCAUGCCAAUGGCACUGCCCGGUAGCUAAAUGCGGAAGAGAUAAGUGCUGAAAGCAUCUAAGCACGAAACUUGCCCCGAGAUGAGUUCUCCCUGAGACUUUAAGUCUCCUGAAGGAACGUU